GGCGAAAGCGGCCUCGACUGCCGCGACCUAGGGAGCGGCUGCGGCGACGGCUUCGGUGGGCGGCGACGACGUCGAUGGGCGGCAGUGGCAGGCGGCUGCGGCGACGGCCGGUGGCGGGCGGCAGCGGCAGGCGGCUGCGGCGACGGCCGAUGGCGGGCGGCCGCAGCGGCGCGGAUCUGGCGCCGGCCACGCGGCGGCCGGCGGUGGGCGGCGCGGCCGGCUAGGGUUCCUUUUUUUUUUUGCUAAAAAUUAUCCCGGAUAUCCGAUGAAAAUUCCCGGAUAGUUUCCGACCGAAUUCGUUUUCAUAUCCGAGAAAAAAAUUCGAAUUCGUUUCCGAAUCCGAGAAAUUCUGAAUAGUUCCGACCGAAUUUUUCCGAAUUCGAAAAUUGGUCCGGACGGACGGAAACUAUCCGAACCAGUUUCAUCCCUAGUGCCAACCGCUCAACUCCCCUUCGAUUCGGUCCGCGUCGCCCUCUCCACUGCUGACCUCGCCGCCGGCAUCGCCGCCACCCUCCUCCCUGGCCACAAUCCGGUGACUCCUCCGUGCGGACGAGAAAAAGGAAAACGUGGGACGCCAAACGCACCUACGCACGAUGGCCAUCCAACGGCGGAGAACGCACGCAACGACCGCGCUCCAAAUCCACCCCUGGGCUCCGGGCCGGAUGACGUGCCAAGCAACGGCAAGGGCCACGACAGCGCAAAUCGCCGCCCAGACCAGCCAUUCCCGGCAAGUUUGUAUAUAAGAGAUAUGUUGGGGGUCUCCAAAACCCUACGUAUUUCAUAGGGCACACCCAUGUCGAAAUGCUACUUGCUUCCUCAUUUCAUUCAAUAUUUCUGAAUCGAUUUGCGCUUGUUUGUCAACUGAUUUGUAUUAGAUGGGAUGGAUGCCAAAUAAAGGGAGUAUAUUCGAGACGUUAGAUCUUCUCAUUGUUUCUA